rnacentral:rRNA from 1 species
UGCUUUACACAUGCAAGUCGAACGGUAACAGGUUAAGCUGACGAGUGGCGAACGGGUGAGUAAUGCAUCGGAACGUGCCCGAUCGUGGGGGAUAACGCAGCGAAAGCUGCGCUAAUACCGCAUACGAUCUGAGGAUGAAAGCGGGGGACCGUAAGGCCUCGCGCGAUCGGAGCGGCCGAUGUCAGAUUAGGUAGUUGGUGGGGUAAAGGCCCACCAAGCCAACGAUCUGUAGCUGGUCUGAGAGGACGACCAGCCACACUGGGACUGAGACACGGCCCAGACUCCUACGGGAGGCAGCAGUGGGGAAUUUUGGACAAUGGGCGAAAGCCUGAUCCAGCAAUGCCGCGUGCAGGAAGAAGGCCUUCGGGUUGUAAACUGC